UACGUAGGGGGCAAGCGUUGUCCGGAAUCAUUGGGCGUAAAGCGCGUGUAGGCGGCUCGGUAAGUCCGCUCUGGAAGUCCGGGGCUCAACCCCGGGAGGCGGGUGGAUACUGUCGAGCUCGAGUCCGGAAGAGGCGAGUGGAAUUCCUGGUGUAGCGGUGAAAUGCGCAGAUAUCAGGAGGAACACCGAUGGCGAAGGCAGCUCGCUGGGACGUGACUGACGCUGAGACGCGAAAGCGUGGGGAGCAAACAGG
rnacentral:rRNA from 1 species